GUAAGUGUCCCCAGAUUAGGUUGUAGAGGGUUAAAUUAAAGAACAAAGACAGAUAGUUACUGAUAAGCUGGGCAGAGAUUAUCUGCUUCCAGAGAUUUCAAUAAAUGAAAACUAUCCUCUGUUCUCCCACAGGCUCUUUAGUCUUAGUCCUUGAUUAGGACCUAGCAUAUUAGUUUUUUGUUUUAUUUUAUAAAUUAGGUAAAAAAUACACAACAUGAAAGUUAUCUUAACCUUUUUUUUUUUUUUUGAGACAGAGUCUUGCUCUUUUGCCCAGGCUGGAGUGCAGUGGCGUGAUAUUGGCUUGCACAACCUCUCCCUCCCGGGUUCAAGCAAUUCUCCUGCCUCAGCCUCCCGAGUAGCUGGGAUUACAGGCACCUGCCAUCAUGCCAGGCUAAUUUUUGUAUUUUUUUAGUAGAGGUGGGGUUUCACCAUGCUGGCUAGACUGGCUUCGAACUCCUGACCUCAGGUGAUCUGUCUGCCUUGGCCUCCCAAAGUGCUGGGAUUACGGGCAUGAGCCACUGUGCCUGGCCUAUCUUAACCAUUUUUAAGUGUACAGUUCUGUAGUGUUAACUACAUUCACAUUAAACAGAUCUCUAGAACUAUCGGGACAACCAGACCCCAGUAUUUCAAGGUAGGUUCUUUUCUAUUUUUCCCUAAGUAUCGGCCAGAGUGAGAAAUAAAGAGAAAGACUACAAAAGAGAGAAAUUUUACAGCUGGGCCUCUGGAGGUGACAUCACAUGUCGGCAGGUUCCGUGAUGCCCCUUGAGCCGCAAAACCAGCAAGUUUUUAUUAGGGAUUUCAAAAGCGGAGGGGGGUAUGAACAGGGAGUAAGUCACAAAGAUCACAUGCUUUGAAAGGGCAAUAAAAGAUCACAAGGGCAGACAGGCAGAGCAAGAUCACAAGGCCAGGGUGAAAUUAGAAUUACUGAUGAGGUUCCAUGUCCUGCUGGGCACGCAUUGUCAUUGAUAAACAUCUUAACAGGAAACAGAGUUCGAGAGCUGACAACUGGUCUGACUAGAAUUCGCCAGGCUGGAAUUUCCUAAUCCUAGCAAGCCUGAGGGCGCUGCAGGAGACCAGGGUGUAUUUCAUCCCUUAUCUUCAACUGCAUAAGACAGACAGUCCCAGAGCGGCCAUUUUAGAGAUCUCCCUCUGGGAAUGCAUUCCUUUCCCAGGGUUAUUCCUUGCUGGGAAAAGAAUUCAGCGAUAUUUCUCCUAUUUGCUUUCUGCAAGAAGAGAAAUAUGACUCUGUUCUGCCAGGCCCCGCAGGCAGUCAGACCUUAUGGUUAUCUCCCUUGUUCCCUGAAAAUCGCUGUUAUUCUGUUCUUUUUUAGGAUGCCCAGAUUUCAUAUUGUUCAAACACAAUGUUUUACAAACAAUUUGUACAGAUAACACAAUCAUCACAGGGUCCUGAGGCAACAUACAUCCUCAGCUUACAAAGAUGACAGGAUUAAGAGAUUAAAGUAAAGGCAGGCAUAGGAAAUUAUAAGAGUAUUGAUUGGGGAAGUGAUAAAUGUCCAUGAAAUCUUCACAAUUUAUGUUCAGAGAUUGCAGUAAAGACAAGCGUAAGAAAUUAUAAAAGUGUUAAUUUGGGGAACUAAUAAAUGUCCGUGAAAUCUUCACAAUUUAUGCUCUUCUGCCGCGGCUUCAACCGGUCCCUCCAUUCGGGGUCCCUGACUUCCCGCAACAUAGAACCUUUUCAUCUUGCAAAACUGAAACUCUGUGCCCAUUGAACAAUAACUCUCCAUUCAUCCCUUCUCCCAGCCCCUGUUAUAUUGGGUUUGAUGGAUUUUCUUUACAUAUUUGUCUCCUCACAUUAGAUUCCGACUUAUGGAAUUUGUUCAUUUUUUUGUCCCCAGUGCCUAUGACUUAGUAGGUGUGUAAUAAGUGUCCACUGAAUAAAUGUAAGCAUGAACAACAGAAUGAGUCUUUUCAAGUAGAGGUGUGGUAAUGUGUCCAGAGUUGGCUCCUGUUGGUGGAUUCAUGGUCUUGCUGACUUAAAGAAUGGAGCCGUGGACCUUCACGGUAUGAAGCCUUAUGCAGUGGUAGCCAUCUUGCAACCAUGAGGCACUUGACUAAGCAAAAAGAAAAAAAAAGAAAAAAAAAUCCAACAAGGUACUGGCAAUAUGGUGGUGAACAAGCCUAAAGAGGCCCAUGCUCAUGGAGCUAAAAGGGCAUUGCAAUGGCAACAUGUUGCUCUUUGGGAACAGGAAAAGGAUACAACCAGUAGUAGGCAUUCCGGGGAC
rnacentral:lncRNA from 10 species